rnacentral:tRNA from 1 species
AGGAUUAUAGUUUAAAUAAAACAUUUGAAUUGCAAUCAAAAUAUAUUGAAAUAAAUCAAUUUAUCUUA